rnacentral:lncRNA from 1 species
GACGCUUAAUAGAUAUAAUAAUAAUUUUAAAUACAGAUAUAAAAAAUUAAAAAUUAAUAAAUUUAAAUUCGGAUAUAAAUUUUGACUCUAUCCAAUCCGAAUUUAAACCUAAAAUAAUUUUACAUUACUUAUUUAUAAAACUUCUGAAUUGAGAAUCUUAAGGCUUGGAGCACUUUCUGCAUACCGCGUGAUGUGGCCCCG